UUGUUGCUGUGGAGAGCUGCCCUCUUGAAGAGGGUCUACAGCUGUAGGUUGUAGGUGGACUAUGUGACCCUGUAUGUGGUUUGCUGUGUUGUUCGGACUCCUAAAGGGCCGUGUUCCUGGCACCCAGCUCUGCCCAUAGCACUCAGACCCUGUGAGACUGCACCACAUCACUGAGGACCUGGCCUGUGCUCCAGCUGCUCUUGGUCCUUGGACUGCUCUUCUUUAGCUGUAUUUGCAGGACUGAAGCUAUAGGCAAGAGUUACUUCCUGAUGCCAUGUGUAUUUCCAUGCAGAAGGUUUGUCUGCUCUUUCUGACGAGCGCAGGCCUGAAGAGUCGGAGAUGGAAAGUUCU